GAGGGGGGCAGGCAGGGAGGGUUGUGGGGAGAGUCCCUGCCAUCCUCCCGGAGGGUCCCACGAUGAGGAUGGUUGAGUGACAGGUGGCAUCUAGCUGGGUCCACCUGGGCGGUGCUGGCCAGUGCUGGGAAGAGUCAAGCCAUAAAGUGAUUGGAACCGUGUGGAAAGGAAGGGUCGUAAAUGGUGUAUUUGAGGAACAAUGUAAGUGUCUAUUCAUUUCUGUUUGUUUUAGUCUGUUUCCCACAUGGCCCCCUUCCUGUUUGCCAGCCCCGAGGACGUGUUCCUCUCACUUCCCACAAUGCCCUUCCCCGAGGGCUGCGUGGCUGGCUCCUCCCAUGUCACCUCACAUGGCCCUCCAGGACCCCUAGCUGAUACCUGUUCCCACACCCCCUCCACAGAGGCACCUUCAGCUAAAACACACACACACACACACACACACACACAUGCAAACCACCCCAGAAAUCCUGAUUCAAAUUCAUUGUAAGAUAGGAGUUUGGGAGACGAAACGUUCACUUCCAGAUGGUUUUUCUCCUUUGGGGUGAUUGAAAUCAAGUUUUGCAAUUCUAGAACUUCAUGUGAUUAUUUCCCAGACGAUUUAUUAAUUCUCAUAAUUUCACAAUCUGCCGUUGUCCGGACUACCUUACUGACCUGUGUCGUCAUGGGAAACAGGAAGCGGGCCCGGCUUUCCAGAUGGCCAAAGCCCCGGUGGGGACAAAGGGUGAACCCACAACGGACAGAGCUCCAUUCAUUCGGUAAUCGAGUGUUCAUUCUCGAGGAGGUUGUUGAUCGGGACAAUCUGUCGUACUGAAAUUAACUAAGGCCCCAGCAUCGCCAGAUAAGGCAAGAAGAUUGAUGGGGCCCCGAGGAGACCAGCAGCAAAACUGUUCUCUGGGCCCCAAGAGGAAGGGCACGACGAUGUUUGGCCCAGUAGAGGGAAGAUUCUGGUAAAGGCCGACAUGGGCUCGUAGGAGUCCCAGUCGCCCUGGAAAAGGAGGAAAUCCUUUCCAUGCUGAUGAGAAAGGCACAUGCGAGGUGAGGACAGAGUGAUGAAUGGGGGUGACAGGUGACCUGUCCAGCUCCGUCGGGGGGUGACCCUGGGGGCGCCCCCGCGAGUCAAGUGCUUCGCCUCCGUGUUGCCUCCUGUCCUGGUUUCUGCUGUCACCGCCGGAGAGAGAGGCGAACGGAGGAUCCGCGAGCUCCUUCUGGCGGGUAAACGGUGGCUGUUUGGAUUGGGUCCUCCCUCGCUUGCUGUCGUCCCGAAGGCUUCCUUCUUCGCAGGGAAGGAGGACGGGAAUCCAGCAGGAAGUCGGCAUCGACCGUGUGCCGGGACCGUGAUGGGGACCGGUCUUCCCAGGUGACCGCAGCCCCUGCCUCCUGGCAGCUCCCGGGCCGGUGGGGGACAGUGCCCCGGCAAGUGCCCUGGGGCGACUUGGGGGAGCAGAUGGGGUGAUGGAGGGCCUUGCGGGGGCACCCACCAAACUUCAGGGGUAGGGCAUCUGAGCCAGGUUCUGAAGGUCAGGCGUGGUUCCGGGGGCUGGAGGAGCCUGGGGCAAUGCGGGGAAAGGGGUCAGGUUUGCAGGGCCCAAGACGAAGGAAGAUGCAUGUGCGUGGGGCCUGGAUGUGGCUCCGGAGUGGCCAGAGCAGGAUGGACAAGGAGAGAAGGCUGAGAGGAGCCGGGAGACGCGGGCGAGAGCCAGCCGGGGAGGGGACCCGCGUCUGCUUCACGAUGGGGAGGGGCAGGGGGGAGAGGCUGGGUGACAAAACGCGGGAGCUGUGGUCCAAGGUGGUGGCCACAUGUGUGCUGAGCCCGUGGGGCUGUAAAAAUAAAUACAUAAAUCAAAAUAAAAAGAUCCGGGUCCAGAGCAGGGGUGCAGGGGUGAGCCUUACACAGGGGAGAGAAGGUUCUUCAUUGUAACGAGACAGGAAGAGGCUGCGGUUAACCGCGGGAGGGAGGGGGAGUCCGCGAAGCUAACGGCUUCGGCUGCCAGCUCCUUUCUCUGUGAGGCAGGUUAUAAGUCACCUAUUAUGUAUCAGGCACUCUCAAAGUCUUCGUAAUUAGUGCGGAGCACUGAUUUCAAGGUCGACAAGGAGCACUGAUUCUGCAAGAGCAGCCACGGCAUUUCUGACAAAGAUCAAAGGGAGAAGAGUGAGCUUUCCAGCUUCCCAAACAUCUAAGAGUAUCGUAAAUAAAAGGCGUGGUCCUGUGCUCCACGGAGACGUGGACCGACGGAACAGAAGUGGACUCGUGCAGAAGCGGGGAUUUGAGGACAAAAAAGCAGCUCCUGACUCGUGCUGUCGGCAUUUCCAAGAAAGAGAGAACGCCACGAACAUCAGGUCUCCCGUAAGGACAGCGACAAAUACGGAGUCGCCAGAGGCCCCACGGCCACCGCAGAUCUGAGAGCGUGGACAGCGGGGGCGGGAGGGCCGGGGAGACCGGGAUGGGAAGUGAGCAGAGGAUGUCAUCUCCGGAAGGGAAAGGCUGGCCCUAACACGAAGCACGGAACGCGGUUCUGGGUUCGUGUUCACGGCUCCGGCCGCAGGACCGACGCGGGCAGCCCGAGGAAGGCAGCAGCCUCUGGACGAGAAAGAAACUCGAAGAUUAAGAACAGAAAUGUAAGCGAGAGGAAGACAGAAGCAAUGCGAAUGCAGGAAAGAAAUGGCAUAAAAAGGCAAAACCACCUCAAAAUAAAA